rnacentral:rRNA from 1 species
CUACGGGUGGCACCAGUGGGGAAUAUUGCACAAUGGGCGCAAGCCUGAUGCAGCCAUGCCGCGUGUAUGAAGAAGGCCUUCGGGUUGUAAAGUACUUUCAGCGGGGAGGAAGGGAGUAAAGUUAAUACCUUUGCUCAUUGACGUUACCCGCAGAAGAAGCACCGGCUAACUCCGUGCCAGGCAGCCGCGGUAAUACGGAGGGUGCAAGCGUUAAUCGGAAUUACUGGGCGUAAAGCGCACGCAGGCGGUUUGUUAAGUCAGAUGUGAAAUCCCCGGGCUCAACCUGGGAACUGCAUCUGAUACUGGCAAGCGUGAGUCUCGUAGAGGGGGGUAGAAUUCCAGGUGGAGCGGUGAAAUGCGUAGAGAUCUGGAGGAAUACCGGUGGCGAAGGCGGCCCCCUGGACGAAGACUGACGCUCAGGUGCGAAAGCGUGGGGAGCAAACAGGAUUAGAUACCCGCGUAGUC